rnacentral:rRNA from 1 species
GACCGAACGCUGGCGGCAUGCCUAACACAUGCAAGUCGAACGAGACCUUCGGGUCUAGUGGCGCACGGGUGCGUAACGCGUGGGAACCUGCCCUUAGGUUCGGAAUAACUCCCCGAAAGGGGUGCUAAUACCGGAUAAUGUCUUCGGACCAAAGAUUUAUCGCCUUUGGAUGGGCCCGCGUUGGAUUAGCUAGUUGGUAGGGUAAAAGCCUACCAAGGCGACGAUCCAUAGCUGGUCUGAGAGGAUGAUCAGCCACACUGGGACUGAGACACGGCCCAGACUCCUACGGGAGGCAGCAGUGGGGAAUAUUGGACAAUGGGCGAAAGCCUGAUCCAGCAAUGCCGCGUGAGUGAUGAAGGCCUUAGGGUUGUAAAGCUCUUUUACCCGGGAUGAUAAUGACAGUACCGGGAGAAUAAGCUCCGGCUAACUCCGUG